rnacentral:lncRNA from 13 species
AAGCGUGCAGAACAACUUUCAUCUUAGAGGAAGAGGCUGACGUUUGUUGUGGAGUCCCACCCAUAUUCCAGGUAUGGAACUAAGACUGGUCCUCCUUAAUCCCAUCUGAACAUCUAUGAGGUGAGGGCUGUUAUCUUCAUUUUAAGCAAAGAAGCUUACAUCACAGGUGGAGCAGUUUAUCCAAGAACCUCAGUGUAAGUGGUGCAACUGGGAUUUUUUCCCCCAAGUUCUUGAGCUGCAAGUUCCUUUUGCUAGGUCAUUUCUUGAAAACUUAACAAAGAAAUCUUCUCUUGCCUAGCAGAGUCAUCCUCAUCCUCCGUGCUGCUUGGGGGAGACACAAUGGUGCGAAGACAAGAGCAACUGCAGAGGCUCAGGACAUCCUUGUGCUGGCAGACUGAGAGGAAAUACUAUUUUCAUGGCUCUGGCUAUGAACAUCAGCAUAUAGAGGAUGGAUCACUACCAAAGAAGGCACCCAAAUGUGUCCGUCUCAUCCUGAGGAAACCCACUCAUCUGUACAUGUACUCAGCAAGUGUUUGCUGGCACCUGCUCUGAGUCACAGGGUGUGCUGGGUACUGGAUGCUCAGAGAUGUGGAAGGAGGCUGGACUUUCAAGGUAAUGUACCCAUACCCACCUCGGGGACUUGAACAUGAAAAAAACAAAAGAUCACAGUGCAAGCUGAUAAAUACUCUGAUAGAGGUGUGGGAAGAAAUGCUCCAGGAGGAGCUCAGUGGAUUGGUGAAGUUUGCUUUAUUCAUUUAAGCAAAUAAAAAUGGGUUCUGGAUACA